UACGUAGGGGGCAAGCGUUGUCCGGAUUUAUUGGGCGUAAAGAGCGUGUAGGCGGCUUUACAGGUCCGUUGUGAAAACUCGAGGCUCAACCUCGAGACGCCGGUGGAAACCGUAAAGCUAGAGUCCGGAAGAGGAGAGUGGAAUUCCUGGUGUAGCGGUGAAAUGCGCAGAUAUCAGGAGGAACACCCGUGGCGAAAGCGGCUCUCUGGGACGGUACUGACGCUGAGACGCGAAAGCGUGGGGAGCAAACAAG
rnacentral:rRNA from 1 species